GAUGAACGCUGGCGGCGUGCCUAAUACAUGCAAGUCGAGCGAACGGACGAGAAGCUUGCUUUUCUGAUGUUAGCGGCGGACGGGUGAGUAACACGUGGAUAACCUACCUAUAAGACUGGGAUAACUUCGGGAAACCGGAGCUAAUACCGGAUAAUAUUUUGAACCGCAUGGUUCAAAAGUGAAAGACGGUCUUGCUGUCACUUAUAGAUGGAUCCGCGCUGCAUUAGCUAGUUGGUAAGGUAACGGCUUACCAAGGCAACGAUGCAUAGCCGACCUGAGAGGGUGAUCGGCCACACUGGAACUGAGACACGGUCCUGAGUCCUACGGGAGGCAGCAGUAGGGAAUCUUCCGAACUGGGCGAAAGCCUGACGGAGCAACGCCGCGUGGGUGAUGAAGGUCUGCGGAUCGUAAAACUCUGUUAGUGGUGAAGAACAUAUGUGCAAGUAACGGUGCAUAUCUUGACGGUACCUAAUCAGAAAGCCACGGCUAACUACGU
rnacentral:rRNA from 1 species